rnacentral:rRNA from 1 species
AUGCAAGUAGGGGAAGCAGCCAACCGCGCCCGGACGGCGGGCACGGCGCCGCUCACACGCCCGUCAUCGUCCAAGAGGUCAGGAGCAGGACAAACAGCUUGUGAUGGAGCUCGCAUCAACGGGUGCCGAGCACCUCUCCAAGAUGAGCCACUCUGGGCGAGCUGCCGCGGCGCCAGUUCCUCCUCCAGCGAGGUCAUGGACGCCGAGGAGCACGCGUGGAUGCUCGCCUGUCCCAUCGACUCCGGGAAGCAGCAGGAGGCUAACCUCACCUACACGGCGAGGACGGAAGGGACGCGCGACAGUGUCAUCGUCAUCAUGAACAAAAUCACGUUGGUCGACGCCUUCCUCGACGCGGUGAGAAUAGUUAAUUCGAAUAAAGUUACUUAA